rnacentral:rRNA from 1 species
GACAGAGGGGGCGAGCGUUGUUCGGAAUACUGGGCGUAAAGCGUGCGCAGGCGGUGAUGUAAGACAGUUGUGAAAUCCCCGGGCUCAACCUGGGAACUGCAUCUGUGACUGCAUCGCUGGAGUGCGGCAGAGGGGGAUGGAAUUCCGCGUGUAGCAGUGAAAUGCGUAGAUAUGCGGAGGAACACCGAUGGCGAAGGCAAUCCCCUGGGCCUGCACUGACGCUCAUGCACGAAAGCGUGGGAGCAAACAGG